CGGGUGAGUAACGCGUGGGUAACCUGCCUUAUACAGGGGGAUAACAGUCAGAAAUGGCUGCUAAUACCGCAUAAGCGCACAGAGCUGCAUGGCUCAGUGUGAAAAACUCCGGUGGUAUAAGAUGGACCCGCGUUGGAUUAGCUUGUUGGUGGGGUAACGGCCCACCAAGGCGACGAUCCAUAGCCGGCCUGAGAGGGUGAACGGCCACAUUGGGACUGAGACACGGCCCAGACUCCUACGGGAGGCAGCAUG
rnacentral:rRNA from 1 species